CAAGAAACGAGGCCGCGUGCGCUCGCCCGCCCGGCCCCGCUCCUUACCUUGCCUACUGCACCGUUUGUUGCCUUCCUGGCGGCGGACUGCCCGCCUGCCAGGGACGUUGAUACAAUCCUGUAUAGAAGCAUUGAAGCUUCUGAGAAAACGCGAAAUCGUA
rnacentral:misc_RNA from 1 species